AUACAUCUGUUGAUUAGCAACCUGAAUGUGUUUUCUUAAGGUAUAAAGGAAAAGGAAAAGUUGCUGGAGAAGUUUCAGAACAAAUGUAUUUAUUGUUCAUCAAAAGGAAAGCACAUCUGGGCCAGCCUUGCUUAUAGAAGACAAUUUCAUCACGGCCCUGCUCCCAUCUCCCAGAUACUGAGUUCAGUUUCUCAUAUCUCUGGUACUUUCCCCACAGUCUUUUUUCUACCCUGAGAUAACUGAAAACAGAAGUUGGCUGUGCCAAGUCAGCAGUGUCUGAAGAGUUUGUUAUGCUGGUAAGCAUGGCAUUCUACCUAUAGAGUGUAUGCAAUGUUGCAUUAAGAGGACUUGGGAUGACAGACAUCUUGUAAGCUUGUGUAAGCAAGAAAAUGGAUUCCUCAACACAACAUGCCUCUCGAUCAUACCUAAGACUUAGGAGCUGAAAGAAAGAAUGGAAGUCAGUCAAAACCACUUUUGAUUAUCUCAAUAUCAUGAUUAUUAACAACAUUUCAUUAAUAAUUAGACGAAAUGACAAACUCGAACAAAGAACUUUGUAUACAAUGUGCACCACAAAAAGGAUAGAUAGCCUCUGUGGGCAAUAUCUCUUCUGAAACUGACAAUAUUUUCUUGACAUCUUCUAAAACAAUCUUUUCUAAAAUAACUAGCAAUUUCAAAGCUGAGAAAUGAUGAAAAAAUGAAAAUAUAUUUGACUCAGCUCUCGGUAUUAAGGCUGCAAGCAAUCAGGAAAUCACGGAAAAAUCCUUUAUACCAUACUUAUCUCCAAGGCAACAAAGAAAGCACCUGCCUUUUAACUAUGACUGUGCCUAAUAAGUCUAUGAGCUUAACAUCAAAGGUCCACUCCAGAAGACCUUGAGAAAUAGGACCUAGCAACAUCUACAGGCUGGAACUAAUGCUGUCAGUACUUUGAAAGUGGUGCAGCCUAUACUGGAACAGCAUCUAUGACCCAAGACCCCUCUUGGACUCUAUUUAAACAUCGCACUAAGAAUUUAGAGAGUCAAAAAGAAAAUAUAUGAUAAUUGUAUUAUACCCCA